rnacentral:rRNA from 1 species
GACAGAGGGUGCAAACGUUGCUCGGAAUUACUGGGCGUAAAGCGCGUGUAGGCGGACUGGUGUGUCGGAUGUGAAAUCCCCAGGCUCAACCUGGGAACUGCAUUCGAAACUGCCAGCCUUGAGUGGUGGAGAGGGAAGUGGAAUUCCUGGUGUAGAGGUGAAAUUCGUAGAUAUCAGGAGGAACACCAGUGGCGAAGGCGGCUUCCUGGACACCAACUGACGCUGAGACGCGAAAGCGUGGGGGAGCAAACAGG